rnacentral:lncRNA from 1 species
CAUGCACAUGCACACCAUGGAUUAGAUCAUGAAGAUAAGAGAUGCAAUGACAAGGGCUCAGACUUUGACGGUGAGGAGAGCUCCAGCAGCAAGAAAAGUUCUCUAACUAUGAAGUGAUAUGAAGUGAUCUCUGACGUCAAUGCUAGCUUCAGAGAAACAUAACAAAGUUUUGCUGAAACUUUAUUUUUUCAGAAGGAAGCAAAUAUUAGGUGGA